GGGAUUUCCGGGAGAGAUAUUUCCGGCUGGGGGUUCCUGGACGAGCCACGUGGCGUUAGGGAGGAUUCCCUGGGAGCUGUGUGAAGUGUUUUCCUGCAGUUCAAAAAUAAAGUUUGUUCCUGCUUCAGUGGCUCGUGAUUUGUGUCCAGCCAGACUGCGGCAAUUGGUGGCCCAUACGGGGAACGUCUGAAGCUUCUGGGUAAGUGAAAUUGCUUGCCCCUAAGGGAAGGCGAGAGAAUGGGUGACCAUUUUAAAAAACAAUGUGUUCUGGUUUUGAUUUGUUUUGUGUUUGUUUCAAGCUGCCUAUCCCUAGAAUUUUCUCAGGCAGAUUGGGAAAAAUGGUUGGCUCAAGGUUUGAAGUUGUUCGCCCCUGAGGAAGAGAUAGAAAUAGACCACAAAUGCACAUAUCAAGAAAAUAGGAAAAUUGAUACAACGAUUUUUUGUUCCGUUUUUGUUUCAUUCUGUUUCGGUUUUGUUUUGUGUUAUCUUAUUGGGUUGCGUUAUCUUUAUAACAGAUUAGAAAUUAGUAAAAAACAAACUGAAAGAGUGUUAAGUAAAUUGUUAGAGGUUCAGACCAUGGAGAAAGACAUUUUAGAUCAAGCAAAAGAGAAGGUCUCUCAAG
rnacentral:lncRNA from 1 species